rnacentral:rRNA from 1 species
CCUACGGGAGGCAGCAGUGAGGAAUAUUGGUCAAUGGGCGCGAGCCUGAACCAGCCAAGUAGCGUGAAGGAUGACUGCCCUACGGGUUGUACACUUCUUUUAUAAAGGAAUAAAGUGAGGCACGUGUGCCUUUUUGUAUGUCCUUUAUGACUAAGGAUCGGCUAACUCCGUGCCAGCAGCCGCGGUAAUACGGAGGGUGCAAGCGUUGUCCGGAAUUAUUGGGUGUAAAGGGUUCGUAGGUGGCAUAUUAAGUCUGGUGUUAAAUGCAGAGGCUCAACUUCUGUUCGGCACUUGAUACUGGUAAGCUUGAGUGCAGUAGAGGUAAGGGGAAUUCCGGGUGUAGCGGUGAAAUGCGUAGAUAUCAGGAAGAACAUCGAUGGCGAAAGCACUUUACUGGGCCGUAAUUGACACUGAGGAACGAAAGCCGGGGUAGCAAAUGGGAUUAGAUACCCUUGUAGUC